rnacentral:rRNA from 1 species
UACGGAGGGGGCUAGCGUUGUUCGGAAUUACUGGGCGUAAAGCGCACGUAGGCGGAUUGGUAAGUUAGAGGUGAAAUCCCAGGGCUCAACCCUGGAACUGCCUUUAAUACUGCUAGUCUUGAGUUCGAGAGAGGUGAGUGGAAUUCCGAGUGUAGAGGUGAAAUUCGUAGAUAUUCGGAGGAACACCAGUGGCGAAGGCGGCUCACUGGCUCGAUACUGACGCUGAGGUGCGAAAGCAUGGGGAGCAAACAGG